UGAAUCAAAAGAAGAUUUUUAAAAAAUUGGAAGUAAUCCUAAAAGUCCAAGAACAUAAUAAUGAUUUGAAAGCGAUAUUAAAAACUUCAAAUGAUCGAUUGGCAGAAGUUGGAAAAACUAUUGCAAUUAUACUCCGAUUAUUGUUAUCGAGAGAUCUCGCAAUGAAUUGCACAGCUCAAAAAGCAAUAAACGGCAAACAUCUGAUAAAAAUGUUUUCUUUGCAAAAAUUAUUCCUGGGUAAAUGUCGACUCACUACAUAUCGAUACUGCCAUUCAAAUACCUCGUAUCCCACAAUUGGGAAAUUUGUCAGGAGACGAUAAAAACGUUUC